rnacentral:rRNA from 1 species
AUGAAGCUCCUCGUGUCACCUCCGCCGCCGCUGUUCCCCUCCUCCCCCUGCCGCCGUUCAGGUAAGGCUAUUCUCCAGAAGCAUUUCCAUGCGGUAGCAACACGAGAAUCUUGCAAAUGCGGGGAAGCCAACAGAACGGCGAUCUGCAGGGUUGCAGCGACCCAUGGCUCUGAACAAGUAAAGGGAAGAGAACCACUUAGGCGCGGCAGGGUCAGUCCACGCCUCCCGGUGCCCGAGCACAUCCGCCGACCGCCUUACGAUGGUACCGAUCGUCUGCCAGAUGUAAAUCCCGAUCGGCAAAUGCAUGACCGUGAGAGCAUCGUUCAUAUGAGAGCCGCAUGCGAGCUUGCUGCCCGAGUUCUUCAGUAUGCAGGAACAAUGGUGAAGCCCUCCGUGACGACAGAUGAAAUCGACAGGGCAGUUCAUCAGAUGAUCAUUGAUGCUGGUGCCUACCCUUCUCCCCUUGGAUACGGCGGGUUCCCGAAGAGCGUCUGCACGUCGGUGAAUGAGUGCAUCUGCCAUGGAAUUCCUGACUCACGCGCACUACGGGAUGGGGAUAUCAUCAACAUUGAUGUUACUGUCUACUUAAAUGGAUAUCAUGGUGACACCUCAAGAACAUAUCUGUGUGGGGAGGUCAAUGAACCUACUAAGCAGCUUGUAAAGGUCACUGAAGAGUGCAUGCUGAGGGGCAUAUCAGCCUGCAAACAUGGUGUUAGCUUUAAGGCAAUUGGAGGGAGAAUAAGCGAACAUGUGAACAAGUACGGCUACAGCGUCGAUCCCUUCAUCGGGCACGGAGUUGGGACGAUCUUCCAUUCAGAACCCAUCAUAUGGCACACCUAUGAUUAUGAGCCAGGAUUCAUGGUCGCAGGCCAGACAUUCACAAUCGAGCCUACCCUGUCCAUGGGGAGCACACGGUGCGAGGUGUGGGACGACGGCUGGACCGCCAUCACGGUGGAUGGCAGCCUCAACGCGCAGUUCGAGCAUACGGUGCUGGUUACCGUCAACGGCGCAGAGAUUCUCACAAAGUGUUAA